GUAUUCAGAUGUUGCCGUUUCGUGCAUUCGGUGUCAAAGCGCAUUCCGAGAAUACUGAUUGUCACAUUAUAGUUAAGUUUUAAAGUUAAUUCAUCGGUUAUUAAGAAACCGUGUCACUGUGUCGAAUGUGUUUCUUACAGAUACACUCUCUAUGUCCUUUGUCACUCUUCAAGUUAUAAGUUUGUCGAUACUUUUAUCUUUUAACUAACAAUGUUUCUGUCGUACGAAAUAUUUGCUGCCUUCGGUGUAUCUGCGCUGGUUUCAUUCCUCGUGUCAGCGAGCUUACUCCUCACCAUUGCAUCUAAAAGCGGUCUGUUGACGCCCAGAAGGAAAGGAUUACAGGAGAGUAAAGGAAACGACACUCUGAUUCCUUCAACAUCAGAGAAACCCACACCCAGUGCACCGGAACUCGCUCUACUCACCCAAUAACUAGAUAUGUCAAAAAAAUGUUAUUUUGAAAAAUUUUCAAUAUUAAUACCACGGAAGAAGCAACAAUUAAAUUGUAACCAGUUUUUCAUAACGGUGAGUUGGUGCGUGAUUAUCAUCGCUAAAACUAACACAGUCAAGGUCGUUUACGAGUAAUCAUAGUACCGUCACAUACUUAAUGACAGUUGUGAUGGAUGAACAAAAUAAAAGGAUAAAAGAGCGGCGAAAGGUACUUCAUGGUAGUAAUGAUCAGUACAUAGACAUUAUGUACAAGUCCUCCAAUCACUAAAACCAUUAAUUUUUCCCUUCUCACAUAGUUCGAUUCCUCAACCAAACCUUCAUAACUUAUUGUACUUAUAGUUGUGUCAACUGGGAUUUUAUUGGAUAUUUGAAAGUUUACACUUUCACAUAUGUAUCAAAUUAACAACUCGCUAAACACGACGCAAAAUAUACAAACAUUAACAUAUUUUAAUUUUUAAUUUGACAUCAAAAAAUUUAAGAUAAAUUAACAAGCAUUUUAUUUAAAAAAAAUGUUCAUUUUGUACAAAUCAUAUUAAAAUAUUGUAUAAAUGUGUCACGAAAUCAUUUAAGGGGAAACAAUAUUUGUAUUUUCACUUUCUUGGUUAUAAUGUGUAAAUAAUAAUAAAUCACUUGUAUAUAUUUGUAUAAGUUAUUAUGAAAAAUUAAUUAAACUACGAUCUGGUCCCGAAUCAUUAUAUUUAAUAAUAUAAAUUUAUUGAAAUACGUUGUAUUUUUUCCGGUUUUUCUUGUUCCCUUCCUAGUGUAUCGGGUUAGUCUAAAGCGGAUUUGAAAUCGUCGUUCCAUCAACAAGAAAAUUAUGAAACGGGAAUAUUACGACAAAAUAUAUAAAAUACUCCAGUAUAUUCUAUUGAUUUGAUUUAUACUCACGUCUGGGAGUAGUCACUCACCGCUUUAAUUAUGUAAGUAAACAGUCCGACAUAUUAUUGUCUGUCAAAGUGGAUUGCUCUUGGUGUAGUAAUAUUAUCUGUAGUAAAAUUCAAUGUUAAAGGUUGCAGAGUGUUCCUUCUUUGACAUUAUUGAAUUUCUCAACUCAAUAUCCUUCCAAAGCGACGGUUGCUGAUUUGAUUCCAGAUCAAUUUCCGCCAUUCAUUGAUUUCAUUACAGUCUUUGGUUGAAAAAUUGCACCUUGAUGUUGGUGGACGAAGUACGGAGGCAUUUAUGACGUCAUAAAUUGGGUUUACCGAUCAUAAUAUAUAUCUUUGAUAGCCGACUCAGAGUGAUUGAUCUUAAGUAUUAUUCGAAGAGCCUGUGGGCCUCUAAGUGAUCCUUACUUAAAGAGCUUCGGCCUUUACAGUAAUAAAUAAUCAUUCGCUGGCGUGUCUCGCAGUUAUAUGAUCUAGUCUUAAGAAGUUAUAGUCUCAUACAUUUAUAUUUAUGUAUGAAUAAAUUCACGAAACUAGUUGUGAAAUAAUACAAUAUAUAACAUGUUGGAGGACACAGGUUCAAGAGCUAACCUUUUCACAAGAAAUUAAAUUCCGCCAUGAAGCCUAGAGCAAACGGACAUGAAUAAUUCAAUGUGCAGCGGUUGGAGGCGAGUGGCUGUUUCCUUAACAAUGCAUCUUUUGCCUCAGGAUAGAGAGGAACCGGUGUGUAAGUGCCUUACUAACUUAUGGAUUACACAGAUAUCAGAUUACACGACGUUAUAGGGAAGUGAAUACUUCGGUCAUAGCGACUCUGGGAAGUCAGAUAAUGGGUACUGUUUCAAUGGAGAUAGUACAAGUAACAUUUUAUACAAAGGUUAGUGAGGAAACCCUAUUCAUAGGGAACUGUCACGAUAUUCUUAUAAAAAGAAAUAAGCAUUUGAUUUAAUUCAUUUAAAAGUAUUCAAUAUUUUUCGCGGGUUUAGUGGAUCGCUUAGAACGUUCUUUAACAUAAAUACAUUUAAAUAAAUGUAGGUGUUUAUAAAAUGGCAACAUUUUGAAUUUUUUUUCACUCGUAUAGGAAUGCAUUUCAAAGUAAAACAUUGAAUACUUAGUUUUUUUGGAGAGAAUGUUGUAAAUUCUCAAUCAAUUUAAACUUAUUAAUAUCUUAAACCCUAACAUUUUUGAUCUUGCUGUAUUCUGCGUUAAUCCUUUCCUAGCCGUUAAAUGUUUGCAGUGUAAGGUGUUGCUGACUUCUUCCACCUGGUGCUAGUGAUAACUCUACAACGAAGAGCAUAGCAAAAUUUCGGACAGCUUUAAGUAUACUUAUGUUUUCAUAUUAUUGUAUUGUAGAGUAAUUUUCUCACUGGCUAGAUUUGCUGAUAUUACUUCGACAUAAUAGUUGCAUAAUAGUGGCGUCACACUUUACAUCACAAUAGUCUUAGUAUCUAUCUUUAUAGAAAUAAUUAUAACAUAGAACAUUAUAAAUGUAUUUGGUAUUUGCACGAUAUCCGAAGAGAGAUGUUUAAUGUUACAAGUUCAAUUCUGGUAGCUGAUGUAUGUACGUAUGUAUGUAUGCAGGGAGUUUUGUUUGAGGUUAAAAAACAAACAAAAAAAAUAGUUUAUUUAAAAAAAAUUCUAUGUAUAUUUAUUUUAAGCACCUAAUUAUUAUAACAUCACAAAUCCCGACAACCUUAAAUUUGCUUCCAUGUAAUAUUUCAUGGACUUUGGAACAUGUCGCUUCUAUGCUUUGAGGUCGUUUAUCAACCUUUAAUCAUACUAACAGUUUCUCGCAAUACAUUAUAAUUUAUUAAACAUUUACGAGAUUAUUUCGUUCUUUGAACUAUGAUGUAAUUUUAUUUUACAUAAUUCAGUAUCUGAAGCCAGGUUCCUCUCAAAGAGACUGUUGCUUAUUUGAUUCUCCAUCGUUUCCGCCGUUCUAAGAUUCCAUUAUAGGCGGAGGUUGAAUCGACGGAAUGCUGAUGUCAUAUUAUUUCCGACUUCUUAUUUAUUGUAAAUUUUAUAAUCCUCUGUGGGGACUAGAGCAGGGACUGUGAAAUAAAAUAGUUAUUUAGUUCAAAUGUGUCAUCGCGCAUCAAAUUUUAGAAUAGUCAGAUAUUCAUCACAGCUUCUAUCUGGUAGAGACUAUCUAAUUGGUUCACGUAAAAUUUAACUGUUAUAAGAUCGUACGAUACGUUACUAUGACGAUUGUAUGAAGUAUUUUUCUAUAUCAGGCGGCAUCUCGAAUCCAAAAAUAUAAAAUUCUUCUGUUUUAUAAAUAGUGGCAAGACGCCACAACAAUUUUCUUUGUUGCUUCUGUGAGACCAAUCCAAUUGAUUAUCCCACUCCAUCUUUCAUUGUGGGAAACUGAAUUGAUCGAAUCAUUGCCAUUGUUUUCGCACUUAAGUACAUCUCUCUGGAAAUGGAUUUGCUAGUAAGGAGUUUCGUUUAAACAAAACAAACACUUAAGAGUUUUCUUGAAAAAAUAUUUCACCACUAUUCAUUCUAACUACAUAUUAUUAUAUCAAGCAGCUGUCCUGAAUCGUAAGGAUGACUUUAAAAAAUAUUUAACUUUCGCUUGUAACAAGUUCUUGUUAAAUGUAUGAAUUUCUUCUCAACGAAUAAAACAAAAAGGUUAAUAGAGAUCUUCUUAUUGUAAUUUUAAUCCAUACAAAAAACAUAUUAUACUUCUACAUAUUUGCGAGUUCUCGUAUAUAUAAUUAAGUUCAUAUGGUAUUGAUAGCAGUUUAAUUAGCUGUUCAUAGUUUUAACAACGAAUGAUUUUAUGUUUACGAUAUUAACAGAUGUAUCUGGCAAUGACAUCUGAACCAUUAUCAGUGUAUUUGCAUUUGCUCUAACAGGAACUAAGGUUACACACGCAACAGCUAACUUCACAUUUUGGAAUAGGCUUCAAACCAUACAUACGAUUACAUUUUUAAGCUCCCUAAGAGGCGAUAACACAUGUAGAUUCGAUUAUUGAUAAUAUUAGCAAUAAUGAUUUCAAUCUUCUAUAUUGAUUAUUAUUUAUUCAUUCGAGCUAUAUCGGACUUUUCUCAGAUGCGACAGUUGCUUCUGUGAUGUGUACUUUCGAAGAGAAACAAUGUCUUUAACUUACACUUAGUUACUAUCAUUUUUACUUGAUCACUAUCGUUUUAAUUUUUUUUUAAACCAGUUUCAUAUCGAACAGAUGCAUUUGACCUUCGUUUUAUAAUCAUCGUCAUCAGAACGACCUUUCGAGGGUUCGAGUUCAUUAAUUAACCUUUUCUCGACGUCACUCAUGCUAUCGGUAUAUACUUUGAACCAUAAUUAGGUUGUUUGCAGAAAGUUUAUAUUAAAAAUACACAAAAGGGUGAAACAGAUUUAAGUACAACAUCCUCUGAGAUAUUAUAUAUAUAUAUAUAUAUAUAUAUAUAUAUAUAUAUAUAUAUCAGAUUGGAUAAUAAGAUUGAAUUUCGACGAGAUUCGAAGAAAUUGUUUUUAAUUUUUUUUAUUAAACUUGGCUUUCUUUCCAUGUCAACGAAAUGUCAACGAAACGAAAAAAGAUUGAUUAGCAGAAUCACUUAAGAAUGUGAACUUUUUUGACUGAAUGUUUGAUGUUUUCAUCAUAAUUACCAAAUUUAACUAAUUUAUUUGUCAAGAUUAGGAACGGCUCUUAGGAAACAUAAUUAAUAUUGUUAAUAAAAUAAUAAAAAAAAAAUAUAAACAAAUUUGUAGGUGAAGUAUCUGUUCUGUGGUGAUCAUCAGUACUCGGCGACCACGCACUAGCACUACUACGCUUCCUUUUCCUGCGUCGGCGCGCAGUGGGGGUGCGUUAUGCGGGAAGGGAGGCGUGCUCGUGCGACCUGAACGCGGGCACUCGCAUGAGGGCAGACGUCGUUGAUGCGGACCAGCAUCGGACCAGCAGCGGAUCAGCAGCGGACCAGCAGCGGACCAGCAGUGGACCAGCAGCUGACCAGCAGCAGACCAGCAGCGGACCAGCAGUGUGAAGAUGACCCGAUUAAGUUCCUAACGCGUGCAUUUAUAAUAGUUAAAAUCACAAUUAAUGCGAAGGUGGUUUUUCAAAAUAUAAUAACAUUUAGUUAUAAACCUGUUAUUAAUAUUAAACACUCAGAAAUUACAGUACAAGAAUAUUAACUUGUAAAGGUAAAUAUGAUAAGAAGAUAUCUUAAAGAACGUUUUUAAUGUUCUCAAUAUUUGAUAUCUUAUUGUUUUAGACAUCAAUUUUUUUUCACAAGUUUAUUUGUCGUUUAUUGCUUCUUUUCUUUUUGAAAGCGAAGCUCUUUGUGAUUUAUUAGGAAACUUUGUUAUUUUCUCUUGAUGUUUUAUUAAAUUUCCUUUGUAACAACUCCGAAACAAUUCAUUUCAUUAAUAAUUGAAAAUAUAUCACAUUGUUUAUAAUC